AGAGUUUGAUUCUGGCUCAGGAUGAACGCUGGCGGCGUGCUUAACACAUGCAAGUCGAACGGAGUAUAUUUAAAAGCUUGCUUUGCGUAUACUUAGUGGCGGACGGGUGAGUAACGCGUGGGCAACCUGCCUUAUACCGGGGGACAACAGCUGGAAACGGCUGCUAAUACCGCAUAAGCGCACGAAGAGGCAUCUCUUAGUGUGAAAAACUCCGGUGGUAUAAGAUGGACCCGCGUCUGAUUAGCCAGUUGGCGGUGUAACGGACCACCAAAGCGACGAUCAGUAGCCGGCCUGAGAGGGCAAACGGCCACAUUGGGACUGAGACACGGCCCAAACUCCUACGGGAGGCAGCAGUGGGGAAUAUUGCACAAUGGGGGAAACCCUGAUGCAGCGACGCCGCGUGAGUGAAGAAGUAUUUCGGUAUGUAAAGCUCUAUCAGCAGGAAAGAAAAUGACGGUACCUGACUAAGAAGCCCCGGCUAACUACGUGCCAGCCGCGGC
rnacentral:rRNA from 1 species